UUCUUAUGAAUAUUGAAUGCUAAAAGCGCGGAUUUUAAGUUUGCUGUCUGGCAGUACUGAACAGACAGGCUGGGUAAACUCCCCCGAAACAUAGCGUCACAAGUGAAAAAUUAUGCAAAUUAACCAACACGGAGAACACAAGCGCCUGGGUUUGGCAAUCAUUGAAUCUAGGCAAUCAAACUUGAAACCAGUUUUCCCCAUGUAAAUCAACACACUUUUUAAUAAUUACUCAAAUCAUAACAGAGCUUUGCAUUCUUUAUAUGGGCACUUAACCCUCCGCAUUAAAAGUACUGGCUUAACUUUUAUUAACUCUUUGUUGCGAAGGAAGGCCUUUGUUUGAAGUACAGCAUGAGAAUAGUUAGGGGGAAAUACGGCGCAAGGGUGAAAGUGCAGCCGCUUUCAAACAGGUUCGGUUGGUUCGGAAGCAAAUUCAUUUUUUUUAGUAUCCCAGAAACUAAAGGUAUUAAAAAUGCUAAAGUUAAAGUCUUUCAGCUGUAGGAGUGAAAAGUUACACUCCGGAAGAAAACAAAACGAAGGGGAGAAGGCGAGCAAUGAAAGAGUAUAUGAGCUAUAGUCACCCCUUAUGCAUACCAAUGCUUCUGUCGUUUAUGGCUACGUAAGAUUUAUGACUUCAUGCACUAAGGCUGUAAACAGAGCACUAAAGAGAAAACACUUGCCCCUAUCGCUUAUUGCGAAGCAACUACAUGAAAGGGGAAGCCAAGCAGCGUAGGAGGGAAGAUAGGGCCAAAAAUUCACUCGUUUGCAACUUUACAAAUCUACGAUGGUGGGAAAUGGUAACGCCAACGGAUGCUGGAUAUUUUCUUAAACUUUCUAUCUCUGAGUCUGGCUCCACGAAUUUCAAUUCAGGAUCAACUGGAUAGAAAUUGAAGGCCCCGCUUAUGUCAGUGUGCCUUGUGAAACAUUGUCGUUGGAUGUAGAGAACUAAAAUAUUGGAUAAGAAAUGUUUCAUCUCUUUCAUUAACGAUUUCAGUCAAUUGCUACGAUUUUAAAAGGGAACGUAAACGGAGAGAGGAGAAUGGACGUAACGUUGAUUUGAAUUGAUAUAAGCAAUGGAUGUUUUUUUACAACAAAAGAGCAGAUAUCAUCACAACUUCCAUUUGAAUGUACCUUGCUUGAAAUUCUAAGAUAUAAACGAAAAUGUUACAUUUUUGUCGCUGUUCUAACGCUUGGAUGAUGCUAACUAUUAUGAUGGAGCAUCCAGUUUACGACCUAUAGUAUAGGUUGAAUCUAACUUCCCCUAUAACUGAUAUGUUUCUGGGGUUUAUUUUCAGAUAAUCUAAAGCACACGUGAUUUAAAUUGUAACUGCCUAUUGCGGUUCUUUAAUUAGCUCAGUAUUUACCAACCGCUUGGACAGGAACUAAUAAAAAUGACACCUUGCAGUGAGAACAUUUCAAAUUCUUAACGACCAUAUAUAAUUUUACAUAUUGCAAAAGUUUAGAAAACUCACCGAAAGUUUGUACAGUCUCGGAUUUGCUUGUGGAAAUGUUAUUUAGGACAAAGUCUGCAACGAAAUCGAGAAACCAUUAAUUUCCCCGCGGAAAAAAAAGAAAGGCGCCGGGGAGCUAAAAUCCUCGAUUAAGAACAUCGACUGAUUCUAUGUGAAUUAUUAACGGACAGAAACCAAGCUAAGAUCUUGAAUCGAUUAUAUGAAGUUACAAUAUUCCAAUCAAUGGGAAAAUAGCGUAAAAAAUGUCAGUAUCUUCGUUGAAUAUUGAACGUUUUUUUUUAGGUUCACGACUUAUCGUAAAGAACUGUUGUAGACCUACCGUCCGUUAUUGCUAAUAACUUAUUUUAUGUAUUUCUGCCUUUCCCAAAUUCAUCUGCACCAAACUUCCAAUUAACCCUGUAAAACGCUGUUAAGCUGUAGCAUUUAAGCUUUGACCAAUUGUUUCAAGAUUGGAUUGUAUGUAAGAAAGGGACUGUAACCGAACUGUAAUUAAAACUUUUAAACCUUUACGAAAAAUAA